UACAGAGGGUGCAAGCGUUGCUCGGAAUCAUUGGGCGUAAAGGGCAGGUAGGGGGUCUCAUUUGUCUGGGGUGAAAGCCUUGGGCUUAACCCAAGAAGUGCCUCGGAAACGGUGAGACUUGAGUACUGGAGAGGGUCGUGGAAUUCCCGGUGCAGCGGUGAAAUGCGUAGAGAUCGGGAGGAACACCAGCGGCGAAGGCAGCUCGCUGGGACGUUACUGACGCUGAGACGCGAAAGCGUGGGGAGCAAACAGG
rnacentral:rRNA from 1 species